ACUCCUACGGGGAGGCAGCAGUAGGGAAUCUUCCACAAUGGGCGCAAGCCUGAUGGAGCAACACCGCGUGAGUGAAGAAGGGUUUCGGCUCGUAAAGCUCUGUUGUUAAAGAAGAACACGUAUGAGAGUAACUGUUCAUACGUUGACGGUAUUUAACCAGAAAGUCACGGCUAACUACGUGCCAGCAGCCGCGGUAAUACGUAGGUGGCAAGCGUUAUCCGGAUUUAUUGGGCGUAAAGAGAGUGCAGGCGGUUUUCUAAGUCUGAUGUGAAAGCCUUCGGGCUUAACCGGAGAAGUGCAUCGGAAACUGGAUAACUUGAGUGCAGAAGAGGGUAGUGGAACUCCAUGUGUAGCGGUGGAAUGCGUAGAUAUAUGGAAGAACACCAGUGGCGAAGGCGGCUACCUGGUCUGCAACUGACGCUGAGACUCAAAAGCAUGGGUAGCGAACAGGAUUAGAUACCCUGGUAGGAUAGCG
rnacentral:rRNA from 1 species